rnacentral:rRNA from 1 species
GUGGGGAAUUUUGGACAAUGGGCGCAAGCCUGAUCCAGCAAUGCCGCGUGCAGGAAGAAGGCCUUCGGGUUGUAAACUGCUUUUGUACGGAACGAAACGGUCCUGGCUAAUACCCGGGGCUAAUGACGGUACCGUAAGAAUAAGCACCGGCUAACUACGUGCCAGCAGCCGCGGUAAUACGUAGGGUGCGAGCGUUAAUCGGAAUUACUGGGCGUAAAGCGUGCGCAGGCGGUGCUGUAAGACAGGCGUGAAAUCCCCGGGCUCAACCUGGGAAUUGCGCUUGUGACUGCAGUGCUGGAGUGCGGCAGAUGGGGAUGGAAUUCCGCGUGUAGCAGUGAAAUGCGUAGAUAUGCGGAGGAACACCGAUGGCGAAGGCAAUCCCCUGGGCCUGCACUGACGCUCAUGCACGAAAGCGUGGGGAGCAAACAGGAUUAGAAACCCGGGUAGUCC